rnacentral:rRNA from 1 species
ACUCCUGACUGACCGAUAGUGAACCAGUACCGUGAGGGAAAGGCGAAAAGAACCCCGGCGAGGGGAGUGAAAAAGAACCUGAAACCGUGUACGUACAAGCAGUGGGAGCACCCUUUGGGGUGUGACUGCGUACCUUUUGUAUAAUGGGUCAGCGACUUAUAUUCUGUAGCAAGGUUAACCGAAUAGGGGAGCCGGAGGGAAACCGAGUCUUAACCGGGCGUUAAGUUGCAGGGUAUAGACCCGAAACCCGGUGAUCUAGCCAUGGGCAGGUUGAAGGUUGGGUAACACUAACUGGAGGACCGAACCGACUAAUGUUGAAAAAUUAGCGGAUGACCUGUGGCUGGGGGUGAAAGGCCAAUCAAACCGGGAGAUAGCUGGUUCUCCCCGAAAGCUAUUUAGGUAGCGCCUCGUGAAUUCAUCUCCGGGGGUAGAGCACUGUUUCGGCUAGGGGGCCAUCCCGGCUUACCAACCCGAUGCAAACUGCGAAUACCGGAGAAUGUUAUCACGGGAGACACACGGCGGGUGCUAACGUCCGUCGUGAAGAGGGAAACAACCCAGACCGCCAGCUAAGGUCCCAAAGUCAUGGUUAAGUGGGAAACGAUGUGGGAAGGCCCAGACAGCCAGGAUGUUGGCUUAGAAGCAGCCAUCAUUUAAAGAAAGCGUAAUAGCUCACUGGUCGAGUCGGCCUGCGCGGAAGAUGUAACGGGGCUAAACCAUGCACCGAAGCUGCGGCAGCGACGCUGAUGCGUUGUUGGGUAGGGGAGCGUUCUGUAAGCCUGCGAAGGUGGCCUGUGAGGGUUGCUGGAGGUAUCAGAAGUGCGAAUGCUGACAUAAGUAACGAUAAAGCGGGUGAAAAGCCCGCUCGCCGGAAGACCAAGGGUUCCUGUCCAACGUUAAUCGGGGCAGGGUGAGUCGACCCCUAAGGCGAGGCCGAAAGGCGUAGUCGAUGGGAAACGGGUUAAUAUUCCCGUACUUGGUGUUACUGCGAAGGGGGGACGGAGAAGGCUAUGUUGGCCGGGCGACGGUUGUCCCGGUUUAAGCGUGUAGGUGUGUGUUCCAGGUAAAUCCGGUU